rnacentral:rRNA from 1 species
UACAGAGGGUGCAAGCGUUAAUCGGAAUUACUGGGCGUAAAGCGUGCGUAGACGGUUGCGUAAGUCAGAUGUGAAAUCCCCGGGCUCAACCUGGGAACUGCAUUUGUGACUGCAUGGCUGGAGUGCGGCAGAGGGGGAUGGAAUUCCGCGUGUAGCAGUGAAAUGCGUAGAUAUGCGGAGGAACACCGAUGGCGAAGGCAAUCCCCUGGGCCUGCACUGACGCUCAUGCACGAAAGCGUGGGGAGCGAACAGG